UUUCCGUAGGUGAACCUGCGGAAGGAUCAUUAAUGAGUUGUCAUGGGGUUCGAUGCUGGCAGCCAGUUUUUGGAUGCAUGUGCUUGCCCUAACAAUCAUCUUCUUCCAAACACCUGUGCACAUUUUUGAGGGAGUCCUGAGUUGGUUGCCGCUCUUGGGUGAUUUUCUCACAUUCCCUUAAAUCAUUAUACGCUAUUAACAAUGUUGAACGUGCUCUGUGCCGCAAGGCCAUUAAUAUAAUACAACUUUUAACAACGGAUCUCUUGGCUCUC
rnacentral:misc_RNA from 1 species